rnacentral:rRNA from 1 species
GAUGGUGACGUGUCGGUGGCGUGGGAAAUACUGAAGGGGUGGGGUUGGUCCGGUUUGAUUGGGGUUAAAGGGAGCGUAGGCCGUAGAUUAAACGAGAGGAGAAAGGGAUACGCGCAACGUGUGAACUGCAGCGCGAACUUGUGUCCUUGUGUAGGAACAAAGCCGGCGGAAUUCGUGGUGUAGCGGUGAAAUGCUUAGAUAUCACGAAGAACUCCGAUUGCGAAGGCUGCUCACUGGCGCGCAACAGACGCUGAAGCUCGAAAGUGCGCGUAUCCAACAGGAGUAGAUACCCGAGUAGUC